rfam:Pseudomonas syringae pv. actinidiae ICMP 19096 scaffold321, whole genome shotgun sequence.
CCAGCUGUUUGCCCUACGCCCCCCUUGGCAAGUAGGGAGACACCUCGCGUACGACUGGAUCGGACACAGUUUGUCCCGCCAGAUU